rnacentral:rRNA from 1 species
CCUACGGGAGGCAGCAGUGGGGAAUUUUGGACAAUGGGCGAAAGCCUGAUCCAGCAAUGCCGCGUGAGUGAAGAAGGCCUUCGGGUUGUAAAGCUCUUUUGUCAGGGAAGAAACGGUGAGGGCUAAUAUCCUUUGCUAAUGACGGUACCUGAAGAAUAAGCACCGGCUAACUACGUGCCAGCAGCCGCGGUAAUACGUAGGGUGCAAGCGUUAAUCGGAAUUACUGGGCGUAAAGCGUGCGCAGGCGGUUUUGUAAGUCUGAUGUGAAAUCCCCGGGCUCAACCUGGGAAUUGCAUUGGAGACUGCAAGGCUAGAAUCUGGCAGAGGGGGGUAGAAUUCCACGUGUAGCAGUGAAAUGCGUAGAUAUGUGGAGGAACACCGAUGGCGAAGGCAGCCCCCUGGGUCAAGAUUGACGCUCAUGCACGAAAGCGUGGGGAGCAAACAGGAUUAGAUACCCUGGUAGUCCACGCCCUAAACGAUGUCUACUAGUUGUCGGGUCUUAAUUGACUUGGUAACGCAGCUAACGCGUGAAGUAGACCGCCUGGGGAGUACGGUCGCAAGAUUAAAACUCAAAUGAAUUGACGG